UACUUCAUUUCAUCACACAGACAUUUUAUCAUCCCACAUCAUCACAAGAAGAAGGGAUCUACAUGAGUCCAUAUGUGCAGAGCACCAUUUCCCACUGGAUUACUUUAUCAUCAUCAAGGCUACAUAAAAAGUGGUAGAGGGAGCAGGUGGAAGAAAUGGGAGCAAUGAGAAGCCCUCCAUACAGAGAGGAAAAUUUGGAUACUGACAUAGAAGAAAAAUGGCCAUGUGAAGACAGAGACAGAGACUGGAGUUUUAGGGCCACAAUCUCAGGAACACCUGGAAUACCAGAGGCUGAAAAGGCAACGAGGAUUCUCCCUCAGAGACUGAAGAGAGCAUAGCACUACCAACAACUUGAUUUCAACUUCAUUACUCUAUAGGUGAGAGUUAAUAAACGUCUCUUGUUGUUAGGCACCUA